rnacentral:tRNA from 2 species
GCCCAGGUGGUGAAAUUGGUAGACACGCUAGCUUCAGGUGCUAGUGGCCUUCGGGCCGUGGCGGUUCAAGUCCGCCUCUGGGCACCA